UGGUUAUACAUCUCGCCCCCCACCACUCCAACUGGUUCAAAGUCCAUAUUAGAGAGAGAGAGAGCAGCGAUAGAACGGGAGAGAGAGAGAGGAGCGACGGGAAUGGCGAAACGACCAUUUUCUCCCGCCGACAAUCGUCUUGGCCUUCAGUCAGACCGGUUGCGGGUUGUGGUGGCUUGGACGCGUGAAACGAUGGUAGAAGGCGGUGGUUGACGAGGGUUAAACGUGAUAUAAUGUUACCGGUGAUAGAUGAAGCCGAUAAUGACGGUUGUGGGAUCUAGGGUCCCGUCUUCGAUUUAGAUCAACAGCCGAAACCCUAGGGUUCCGGUGAACGUGAAUGUCGCAACGACGAGGCAACGCCGACUGAUCCGACAACGACAAAGCAAGAAGCGAAAGUUGUCAAAAUUUUGUCUUCAUUCGAGGUGCCGGCUUUAAUGGAGAAAUCGCGGGCAGUUACUUCAUGGAAUUCUCAUUAUCAAAGAUCUGAAAUCGCGAGACCUUGGUGCGGGCUUCUUGCUCAGACUUCACUGAACCAAAGCAUGACUGCUUAUACACCAACCUUUUUAAUCGAGUCAAACAAGAAUGCAAAUGUUGUGAUUAAGGAUGUAAGCACGGUUCUUUGCAGUAUCAGGCUUAAUGAGGUAACGGGUAAUAUACUAAUAUUUCAUGUCACCUGUUUAGGGAUUCACAUCACAUUAAGCAGAAACAUUUCACAUGGAUUUUAGGAUAGUUAUUUGCAGUAUGAAUACUUAUUGUUUGUCGACAUGAUCAGUGCGAAGGCAGUUCUAUAGCGGUGCUUGAAAGCAAAGGAAGCAAGGGAUACAUUUAUGUUAACGGGAGGGUUAUAAAAUAGGGUACAAGUUGCGUUUGAGAUCAGGAGAUGAAGUCCUUUUUGGCUCUUUAGGAAAUCAUGCUUAUGUAUCCUUCUUUUAGCAUAAAUAUUUUGUUUAAUGCAUUAUUUGUUACUUUCGUUUCAAGAUUUUUCACAAUUUCUCUCUGUUAAUGCCAUCUUUCAUAUCUAUAACUAAA